GGGUGCGAUCAUACCAGCACUAAUGCACCUGAUCCCAUAAGAACUCCGCAGUUAAGCAGGCUUGGGCGAGAGUAGUACUAGGAUGGGUGACCUCUUGGGAAGUCCUCGUGUUGCACCCC
rfam:Gossypium arboreum cultivar AKA8401 contig_85185_1, whole genome shotgun sequence.